GGCGCACGGGUGAGUAACACGUAGGUAAUCUACCUUCGGGUGGGGAAUAACAACCGGAAACGGUUGCUAAUACCGCAUAAUGCAGCGGCACCUAAUGGUGACAGUUGUUAAAGCGGGGGAUCGCAAGAUCUCGCGCCUGAAGAGGAGCCUGCGGCGGAUUAGCUAGUUGGUAGGGUAAUGGCCUACCAAGGCGACGAUCCGUAGCCGGCCUGAGAGGGCGGUCGGCCACACUGACACUGACAUACGGGUCAGACUCCUACGGGAGGCAGCAGUCGGGAAUUUUGGGCAAUGGGCGAAAGCCUGACCCAGCAACGCCGCGUGAAGGAUGAAAUCCCUCGGGAUGUAAACUUCGCAAGAACAGGAAGAAUAAGUUUGUGCUAACACCACAAGCGAUGACGGUACUGUUUGUAAGCUCCGGCUAACUCCGUGCCAGCAGCCGCGGUAAUACGGGGGGAGCAAGCGUUGUUCGGAUUUACUGGGCGUAAAGGGCGCGUAGGCGGCCGCCGCAAGUCAGUUGUGAAAUCUCCGAGCUUAACUCGGAAAGGUCAACUGAUACUGCGGGGCUAGAGUGCGGAAGGGGCAACUGGAAUUCUUGGUGUAGCGGUGAAAUGCGUAGAUAUCAAGAGGAACACCUGCGGCGAAGGCGGGUUGCUGGGCCGACACUGACGCUGAGGCGCGAAAGCUAGGGGAGCGAACGGGAUUAGAUACCCCGGUAGUCC
rnacentral:rRNA from 1 species